rnacentral:rRNA from 1 species
AGUCGAACGAGAACGGAUUAUAGCUUGCUAUAAUUGUCAGCUAAGUGGCGCACGGGUGAGUAAUGUAUAGGUAAUAUGCCUCUUACUAAGGGAUAACAAUUGGAAACGAUUGCUAAUACCUUAUAUUCCUUUUUAUCAAAAGAUAAAAAGGGAAAGCUUUAUUGGUAAGAGAUUAGCCUGUAUUGUAUCAGUUAGUUGGUGGGGUAAUGGCCUACCAAGACGAUGACGCAUAACUGGUUUGAGAGGAUGAUCAGUCACACUGGAACUGAGACACGGUCCAGACUCCUACGGGAGGCAGCAGUGGGGAAUAUUGCGCAAUGGACGAAAGUCUGAUGCAGCAACGCCGCGUGGAGGAUGACACAUUUCGGUGCGUAAACUCCUUUUAUAUAAGAAGAUAAUGACGGUAUUAUAUGAAUAAGCACCGGCUAACUCCGUGCCAGCAGCCGCGGUAAUACGGAGGGUGCAAGCGUUACUCGGAAUCACUGGGCGUAAAGAGCGUGUAGGCGGAUUGAUAAGUUUGAAGUGAAAUCCUAUAGCUUAACUAUAGAACUGCUUUGAAAACUGUUAAUCUAGAAUGUGGGAGAGGUAGAUGGAAUUUCUGGUGUAGGGGUAAAAUCCGUAGAGAUCAGAAGGAAUACCGAUUGCGAAGGCGAUCUACUGGAACAAUAUUGACGCUGAGACGCGAAAGCGUGGGGAGCAAACAGGAUUAGAUACCCUGGUAGUCCACGCCCUAAACGAUGUACACUAGUUGUUGUGAGGCUCGACCUUGCAGUAAUGCAGUUAACACAUUAAGUGUACCGCCUGGGGAGUACGGUCGCAAGAUUAAAACUCAAAGGAAUAGACGGGGGACCCGCACAAGCGGUGGGAGCAUGUGGUUUAAU